rnacentral:tRNA from 1 species
GCGCCUGUAGCUCAAUUGGAUAGAGCGUUAGCCUCCGGAGCUAAAGGCUUCGGGUUCGAGUCCCGACAGGCGCA